CUACGGGCGGCUGCAGUGAGGAAUAUUGCACAAUGGGGGGAACCCUGAUGCAGCAACGCCGCGUGGAGGAUGACGCAUUUCGGUGUGUAAACUCCUUUUAUAUGUCAAGAAAAUGACGGUAGCAUAUGAAUAAGCACCGGCUAACUCCGUGCCAGCAGCCGCGGUAAUACGGAGGGUGCAAGCGUUACUCGGAAUCACUGGGCGUAAAGGACGCGUAGGCGGGUUGUCAAGUCAAGUGUGAAAUCCUACAGCUUAACUGUAGAACUGCACUUGAAACUGGCAGCCUAGAGUAUGGGAGGGGGAGAUGGAAUUAGUGGUGUAGGGGUAAAAUCCGUAGAUAUCACUAGGAAUACCUAAAGCGAAGGCGAUCUCCUGGAACAUUACUGACGCUAAGGCGUGAAAGCGUGGGGAGCAAACAGGAUUAGAUACCCCUGUAGUC
rnacentral:rRNA from 1 species